rnacentral:rRNA from 1 species
AUACGGAGGAUGCGAGCGUUAUCCGGAUUUAUUGGGUUUAAAGGGUGCGUAGGCGGACGAUUAAGUCAGCUGUGAAAUGCCCGCGCUUAACGCGGGAAGUGCAGUUGAUACUGGUUGUCUGGAGUGCCGUUGACGUGGGGGGAAUGUGUAGUGUAGCGGUGAAAUGCAUAGAUAUUACACAGAACGCCGAUUGUGAAGACACCUCACGAAGCGGUAACUGACGCUGAGGCACGAAAGCGUGGGUAUCAAACAGGAUUAGAUACCCUGGUAGUCCGCACAGUAAACGAUGAAUACUCGCUGUUUGCGAUACACUGUAAGCGGCCAAGCGAAAGCGUUAAGUAUUCCACCUGGGGAGUACGCCGGCAACGGUGAAACUCAAAUGAAUUGGCGGGG